GAUGAACGCUAGCGGCAGGCUUAAUACAUGCAAGUCGAGGGACAGCACAGGUAGCAAUACUGGGUGGUAACCGGCAAACGGGUGCGGAACACGUACACAACCUUCCUUUAAGUGGGGGAUAGCCCAGAGAAAUUUGGACUAAUACCCCGUAAUAUAGUUGAAUGGCAUCAUUUGAUUAUUAUAGCUACGGCGCUUAAUGAUGGGUGUGCGGCUGAUUAGAUAGUUGGCGGGGUAACGGCCCACCAAGUCUACGAUCAGUAGCUGAUGUGAGAGCAUGAUCAGCCACACGGGCACUGAGACACGGGCCCGACUCCUACGGGAGGCAGCAGUAAGGAAUAUUAGUCAAUGGACGCAAGUCUGAACCAGCCAUGCCGCGUGAAGGAUUAAGGUCCUCUGGAUUGUAAACUUCUUUUAUUUGGGACGAAAAAGGGCCUUUCUAGGUCAACUGACGGUACCAGAUGAAUAAGCACCGGCUAACUCCGUGCCAGCAGCCGCGGUAACAC
rnacentral:rRNA from 1 species